AGAAUUGCCUGUGUUAUCACUGAUGAAGUACUCAUCGGUCACACAGUUUCUGGAAACUUGUUGCACUGGGUCUUGCUGUCAUUUGCCUUCUUUUGCUUCUAACUGUGUGUGGUUUGCUUUUAUAUGUUUUUCAGGGUGUCUUUCAAGAUGAUGGAAUUCAGACUGAAGCUCUUAAUCAAAACUUAUCCAACCUAAAGGAAGAGAACAUAUAUAAUAGAACAAAUAUAUCUGAGGUGUCUUCUCAGCGGAACACAAUCAUACAUGAAAACAAUGCAUACAAAACAAAAAUAAAUUAUCUGACCGAGAUAUUAAAAGAUGCAUAUUUCUUUAAACCAAAGGACAUUAAACAAGAAAUUCCAAGUUGGCUGUUUAAAUUUGACAAAGAUCUACAUCCAGUUGGAAUAGUAGCAGCAGUCAAAUCCAGAAGUCUAAGCAUAUGCCCUAUGGAUUGGAUUAUGAAUAAAGGAAGAUGUUACUUCUUUUCUGAAGAGAAAUUGUCAAGAUCUGCUAGCAAAACGAAAUGUGAAGAAGAGGCAGCAAUGUUGAUUAUUAUUAAUGAUAAGCAAGAACU